AACCUUCGGGUCGUAAACUCCUUUCGAUCGAGACGAAUGUUUUCGGUCUGAAUAAUCCGGAAAAGUGACGGUACCGAGAGAAGAAGCCCCGGCUAACUCUGUGC
rnacentral:rRNA from 1 species